GUGCUCACUUCAGCAGCUCGUAUAUCAAAUCGGAAAGAGACAGAAAAGAUUAGCAUGAGCGCUGCACAAGAAUCACAGGCAAAGUCAGGAAGCACUCCAUAAUUGU